GGUUGGCUUAGAAGCAGCCACCCUUGAAAGAGUGCGUAAUAGCUCACUGGUCUAGUGAUUCCGCGCCGACAAUGUAGCGGGGCUCAAGCGUACCGCCGAAGUCGUGUCAUUGCAGCAAUAGGGCCAACGCCUGCUGUGAUGGGUAGGGGAGCGUCGUCUGCCGGGUGAAGCAGCCGCGGAAGCGAGUUGUGGACGGUUGACGAGUGAGAAUGCAGGCAUGAGUAGCGAUUCACACGUGAGAAACGUGUGCGCCGAUUGACUAAGGGUUCCUGGGUCAAGCUGAUCUGCCCAGGGUAAGUCGGGACCUAAGGCGAGGCCGACAGGCGUAGUCGAUGGAUAACCGGUUGAUAUUCCGGUACCCGCUGUGAAGCGUCAAACAUCGAGCAUCGUGAUGCUAAGGCCGUGAAGCCGCCCUGAUCUCUUCGGAGUUGAGGGGAGUGGUGGAGCCGCCGAACCAAGCGGUUAGUAGGUGAGUGAUGGGGUGACGCAGGAAGGUAGUCCAUCCCGGGCGGUGGUUGUCCCGGGGUAAGGGUGUAGGACGCAAGGUAGGCAAAUCCGCCUUGCACAUAGUCUGAGACCUGAUGCCGAGCCGAUUGUGGUGAAGUGGAUGAUCCUAUGCUGUCGAGAAAGCCUCUAGCGAGUUUCAUGGCGGCCCGUACCCUAAACCGACUCAGGUGGUCAGGUAGAGAAUACCGAGGCGUUCGGGUGAACUAUGGUUAAGGAACUCGGCAAAAUGCCCCCGUAACUUCGGGAGAAGGGGGGCCAUCACUGGUGAGGGGACUUGCUCCUCGAGCUGGGGGUGGCCGCAGAGACCAGCGAGAAGCGACUGUUUACUAAAAACACAGGUCCGUGCGAAGCCGUAAGGCGAUGUAUACGGACUGACGCCUGCCCGGUGCUGGAACGUUAAGGGGACCGGUUAGUGACCUUUCGGGGUUGCGAAGCUGAGAACUUAAGCGCCAGUAAACGGCGGUGGUAACUAUAACCAUCCUAAGGUAGCGAAAUUCCUUGUCGGGUAAGUUCCGACCUGCACGAAUGGCGUAACGACUUCUCGACUGUCUCAACCAUAGGCCCGGUGAAAUUGCACUACGAGUAAAGAUGCUCGUUUCGCGCAGCAGGACGGAAAGACCCCGGGACCUUUACUACAGUUUGAUAUUGGUGUUCGGUUCGGCUUGUGUAGGAUAGCUGGGAGACUGUGAAGCUCGGACGCCAGUUCGGGUGGAGUCGUCGUUGAAAUACCAGUCUGGUCGUGCUGGAUGUCUAACCUGGGUCCGUGAUCCGGAUCAGGGACAGUGUCUGAUGGGUAGUUUAACUGGGGCGGUUGCCUCCUAAAGGGUAACGGAGGCGCCCAAAGGUUCCCUCAGCCUGGUUGGCAAUCAGGUGUUGAGUGUAAGUGCACAAGGGAGCUUGACUGUGAGACCGACGGGUCGAGCAGGGACGAAAGUCGGGACUAGUGAUCCGGCGGUGGCUUGUGGAAGCGCCGUCGCUCAACGGAUAAAAGGUACCCCGGGGAUAACAGGCUGAUCUUCCCCAAGAGUCCAUAUCGACGGGAUGGUUUGGCACCUCGAUGUCGGCUCGUCGCAUCCUGGGGCUGGAGUCGGUCCCAAGGGUUGGGCUGUUCGCCCAUUAAAGCGGUACGCGAGCUGGGUUUAGAACGUCGUGAGACAGUUCGGUCCCUAUCCGCUGUGCGCGUAGGAGUCUUGAGAAGGGCUGUCCCUAGUACGAGAGGACCGGGACGGACGAACCUCUGGUGUGCCAGUUGUUCUGCCAAGGGCAUGGCUGGUUGGCUACGUUCGGGAGGGAUAACCGCUGAAAGCAUCUAAGCGGGAAGCCUGCUUCGAGAUGAGGACUCCCACCUCUAUAAGAGGGUAAGGCUCCCAGUAGACGACUGGGUUGAUAGGCCGGAUCUGGAAGCACGGUAACGUGUGGAGGUGACCGGUACUAAUAGGCCGAGGGCUUGUCCUC
rnacentral:ncRNA from 1 species